UACGAAGGGGGCUAGCGUUGCUCGGAAUCACUGGGCGUAAAGGGUGCGUAGGCGGGUCUUUAAGUCAGGGGUGAAAUCCUGGAGCUCAACUCCAGAACUGCCUUUGCUACUGAGGAUCUUGAGUUCGGGAGAGGUGAGUGGAACUGCGAGUGUAGAGGUGAAAUUCGUAGAUAUUCGCAAGAACACCAGUGGCGAAGGCGGCUCACUGGCCCGAUACUGACGCUGAGGCACGAAAGCGUGGGGAGCAAACAGG
rnacentral:rRNA from 1 species